rnacentral:misc_RNA from 1 species
GUGAAUCAUCGAAUUUUUGAACGCAAAUUGCACUCUCUUCGGAGAGUAUGCCUGUUUGAGGGUCAGCCUAAAAAAAAAACCGACAUAGUCGCUGUUUCGCGGUGACAUUCGUCGGAAAUUUUUCCAUCUUAAACCUUUGGGUUUUUAUUGGCUUAAAAUUUUCUUUACGUUUCCACGAACGUUUCUAUGAUUUAUUUCUUAUACCUUUAAGGAAUCG